rnacentral:rRNA from 1 species
CAGCCGCCGCGGUAAUACAGAGGGUGCGAGCGUUAAUCGGAUUUACUGGGCGUAAAGCGUGCGUAGGCGGCUUUUUAAGUCGGAUGUGAAAUCCCUGAGCUUAACUUAGGAAUUGCAUUCGAUACUGGGAAGCUAGAGUAUGGGAGAGGAUGGUAGAAUUCCAGGUGUAGCGGUGAAAUGCGUAGAGAUCUGGAGGAAUACCGAUGGCGAAGGCAGCCAUCUGGCCUAAUACUGACGCUGAGGUACGAAAGCAUGGGGAGCAAACAGGAUUAGAGACCCGUGUAGUCCCUGUCUCUUAUAC